UAAGGGAGACUCUAAAAUAGGAGUCAAGCAAGGAAGUCGUGGACAAGAAAGGCUAGAAAAAGAGAAGAAAGAGGGUUUGGUUGGGCUAUUAGCUCAGGUGGUUAGAGCGCACCCCUGAUAAGGGUGAGGUCCCUGGUUCAAGUCCAGGAUGGCCCAUAACUGUAGGAGAAAUUCUAUAGUGACCAGAUGGGGGUAUAGCUCAGUUGGUAGAGCGCCUGCUUUGCAAGCAGGAUGUCAGCGGUUCAAGUCCGCUUACCUCCAGAACAGAACAAUUCAGCACUGUGAUGAGAAGAGCAAAUGCUGAACGAAAGUUCAGAAAAAAGAACCUUGAAAACUGCAUAGAAAAAAGAAAGGGAAGACAAGAAAA
rnacentral:tRNA from 1 species